AUCCAGAUGACGAGUCCCAAAUAGGACGAAACGCGCGUUAAACUAGAG
rfam:Schistosoma rodhaini strain Burundi genome assembly, scaffold: SROB_scaffold0009153